UGCGGUAUAUUGAACCCCCUACUCAAGGCCUUUAAUUUCAGAAAUUCUGGCAAUUCAAACUCUUUUAUGUAGUUAGAAUACACAAAUAAGUAGUUUGUAUGUAUUUAACUUGCUAGAAAAGAUAUUUUGAAAAUUUUACUUUGCCAUGGUAUUUUGACCCCCUGCGAUAUAUUGAACCCCUUACUCUAGACAAUUUAAAUAAUUCUGGCAAUUUUAACUCUUAUAUGUAGUUAAUAUACACCAACAAGUAGUUUGUUUGUAUUAAACUUGAUGGAAAAGAUAUUUUGAAAAUUUUACUUUGCCAUGGUAUUUUGACCCCCCUGCGGUAUAUUGAACCCCUCACUCUAGACCUUUAAUUUAAAAAGUUCUGGCAUUUCUAACUUUUCAAUGUAGUUAGAAAACACAAAAAUAAGCAUUUUUUAUGUAUUAAACUUGCUGGAAAAGUUAUUUUGAAAAUUUUACUUUGCCAUGGUAUUUUGACCCCUCUGCGGUAUAUUGAACCCCCUACUCAAGGCCUUUAAUUUCAGAAAUUCUGGCAAUUCAAACUCUUUUAUAUAGUUAGAAUACACAAAUAAGUAGUUUGUAUGUAUUUAACUUGCUAGAGAAGAUAUUUUGAAAAUUUUACUUUGCCAUGGUAUUUUGACCCCCUGCGAUAUAUUGAACCCCUUACUCUAGACAAUUCAAAAAAAUCUGGCAAUUUUAGCUCUUUUAUGUAGUUAAUAUACACACACAAGUAGUUUGUAUGUAUUAACUUUGAUGGAAAAGAUAUUUUGAAAAUUUUACUUUGCCAUGGUAUUUUGACCCCCCUGCGGUAUAUUGAACCCCUUACUAUAGACAAUUCAAAAAAAUCUGGCAAUUUUAGCUCUUUUAUGUAGUUAAUAUACACACACAAGUAGUUUGUAUGUAUUAACUUUGAUGGAAAAGAUAUUUUGAAAAUUUUACUUUGCCAUGGUAUGUUGACCCCCUGUGGUAUAUUGAACCCCUCACUCUAGACCUUUAAUUUAAAAAGUUCUAGCAUUUCUAACUUUUUAAUGUAGUUAGAAUACACAAAUAAGCAGUUUGUAUGUAUUUAACUUGCUGGAAAAGUUAUUUUGAAAAUUUUACUUUGCCAUGGUAUUUUGACCCCCUCUGCGGUAUAUUGAACCCCCUACUCAAGGCCUUGAAUUUCAGAAAUUCUGGCAAUUCAAACUCUUUUAUGUAGUUAGAAUACACAAAUAAGUAGUUUCUAUGUAUUAAAAUUGCUGGAAAAGAUAUUUUGAAAAUUUUACUUUGCCAUGGUAUUUUGACCCCCCUGCGGUAUAUUGAACCCCUUACUAUAGACAAUUCAAAAAAAAUCUGGCAAUUUUAGCUCUUAUUUGUAGUUAAUAUACACACACAAGUAGUUUGUAUGUAUUAACUUUGAUGGAAAAGAUAUUUUGAAAAUUUUACUUUGUCAUGGUAUUUUGACCCCCCUGCGGUAUAUUGAACCCCUUACUAUCAUGACUAUAGACAAUUCAAAAAAAUCUGGCAAUUUUAGCUCUUAUAUGUAGUUAAUAUACACACACAAGUAGUUUGUAUGUAUUAACUUUGAUGGAAAAGAUAUUUUGAAAAUUUUACUUUGCCAUGGUAUUUUGACCCUCUUGCGGUAUAUUGAACCCCCUACUCU
rnacentral:lncRNA from 1 species